UGAAGACUGGCUGAUCUUGCAGGAGGCUGAAACAGUUGUUCGAGCCAUGACAAGAGCAGCCCGGACCAGGGUCCUACGGACAGGGAUGGUGGAAGAUGGAAGUAUUCGUGAGUUACCUACAAGGGAAAAGAGAAAUGAUCUGGUGAUGGAGUCAAUGUGGAUGUGUCUGCUAAAAACAGGGGUGAUGGCAAUAGAGCAUAACAGAUAUCUGGACUCUGGACACAGACACAUCCAGGUUCAAGUCCGUCAACUCCCUACUCUGUCACCUUCGAGUGGUAUUAGCUUGGCCAACUUAUUUAACCACUGUACACUUUAGCCUUCUCAUCUGUAACCGUGGGAUACCAGAACUGAGGUUCAGAGGAUUAGGAACGACUGGAAUUUGAAAGCAGGCCUGCCUACUUCAAAGCCCCUCUUCAUUCAGAUAUUCAGGCUGCUCUGCAUUUCUGUGUUCUUAGCCUAUCUUGGUCUGAAUGAGCUUAGAAGUGGAAGCAUUUCCAGAGCUUACAGAAAGGAACGCAGCUUUGCUGGCACCUUGAUUUUGGCCUUGUG